CAGUAGCCGCGGUAAUACAGAGGGUGCGAGCGUUAAUCGGAUUUACUGGGCGUAAAGCGUGCGUAGGCGGCUUCUUAAGUCGGAUGUGAAAUCCCUGAGCUUAACUUAGGAAUUGCAUUCGAUACUGGGUAGCUAGAGUAUGGGAGAGGAUGGUAGAAUUCCAGGUGUAGCGGUGAAAUGCGUAGAGAUCUGGAGGAAUACCGAUGGCGAAGGCAGCCAUCUGGCCUAAUACUGACGCUGAGGUACGAAAGCAUGGGGAGCAAACAGGAUUAGAGACCCCGGUAGUCCCUGUCUCUUAUAC
rnacentral:rRNA from 1 species